rnacentral:rRNA from 1 species
GUAGUUAGCCGGGGCUUUCUAAUGGGGUACCGUCAUUUUUUCGUCCCCCACAACAGAGGUUUACAAUCCGAAAACCUUCUUCCCUCACGCGGCGUUGCUGGGUCAGGCUUGCGCCCAUUGCCCAAUAUUCCCCACUGCUGCCUCCCGUAGGAGUCUGGACCGUGUCUCAGUUCCAGUGUGGCCGAUCAGCCUCUCAGCUCGGCUACCCAUCGCAGGCUUGGUGGGCUGUUAUCUCACCAACUACCUAAUGGGACGCGAACCCCUCCUUCAGCGGAUUGCUCCUUUGACCUCAUCCCGAUGCCGGGUCGUGGUCUUAUGCGGUAUUAGCACUUGUUUCCAGGUGUUAUCCCCCUCUGAAGGUCAGGUUGUUCACGCGUUACUCACCCGUUCGCCACUAAAAUUUAUCUUCCAUCCGAAAACUUCUGAUAAAUCUCCGUUCGACUUGCAUGUGUUAGGCACGCCGCCAGCGUUCGUCCUGAGCCAGGAUCAAACUCUGA